rnacentral:rRNA from 1 species
AGUGAACGCUGGCGGUAGGCCUAACACAUGCAAGUCGAACGGCAGCACAGUAAGAGCUUGCUCUUACGGGUGGCGAGUGGCGGACGGGUGAGGAAUACAUCGGAAUCUACUUUUUUGUGGGGGAUAACGUAGGGAAACUUACGCUAAUACCGCAUACGACCUACGGGUGAAAGCAGGGGAUCUUCGGACCUUGCGCGAUUGAAUGAGCCGAUAUCGGAUUAGCUAGUUGGCGGGGUAAAGGCCCACCAAGGCGACGAUCCGUAGCUGGUCUGAGAGGAUGAUCAGCCACACUGGAACUGAGACACGGUCCAGACUCCUACGGGAGGCAGCAGUGGGGAAUAUUGGACAAUGGGCGCAAGCCUGAUCCAGCCAUACCGCGUGGGUGAAGAAGGCCUUCGGGUUGUAAAGCCCUUUUGUUGGGAAAGAAAAGCAGCAGGUUAAUACCCCGCUGUUCUGACGGUACCCAAAGAAUAAGCACCGGCUAACUUCGUG